rnacentral:lncRNA from 1 species
AAACAGCGAUUCUUCUGCAGUGAAUCACUUCCAGAAAUGAAUAGCCACAGUUUUUUGGAAUGAACGUUGUGAAAUCCCUCCUUUAUAAUGGCAGGUUUUCAGUUGGUGGUUUUAUCAGAAUUUCUCAAGAUCAAAACGAAACCUUCUCUUUAAAAAGGAAAGAAAGUACUAUCGAUACAGAAAGCAAAAGUAUUUCCAGUCUCCUACUGAACUGUCACGGCAGACCUCUCUGUAUCUAUAUUUAGAGCUGUAUGUCCAUAUAUUUGCCUGAAUGUGUGAGUUCUUGGAAGUAUGGAUUCAUUGCCAGGAGCUGGUGAUUUCCUAAGCAGAGGUCGCUAACUACAAGAAAUGUUACACUCGGACAAGUCCUGCGCUUGGGGAUCCUCUGUACGCCCGUUCACUGGUGCAGGUCUUCUGAACAAAUGCCUCCUGAGGAUUUCUGUGCCUGGAAAAUAUCUGUUAACAGACUGCUUUUACACCUACAUGCUGGUGGGAUGGAGCUGCAGUUUGUGUCUCUGAAGCAGAUUAAACACUGUCUGCCCCAGCCUGUCUUAACUAUCUUCUCACUGGUUAACAGUCCUUGGAAGAAUAAACAAUCCACACAAGCUCUCAGAAAGCAGAAGUUCCAUGAUUCGUG